CGUCGGGCAGGCGGUCGAGGAAGCGCGCGUGCUCGAACUGCGCGACGCCGCGUCGCACUAUCUGAAGGCGGGUUCGGCGCUCGGCUCGGCGGC
rnacentral:tRNA from 1 species